UACGUAGGGCGCAAGCGUUGUCCGGAAUUAUUGGGCGUAAAGAGCUCGUAGGCGGCUUGUCACGUCGGGUGUGAAAGCCCGGGGCUUAACCCCGGGUCUGCAUUCGAUACGGGCUAGCUAGAGUGUGGUAGGGGAGAUCGGAAUUCCUGGUGUAGCGGUGAAAUGCUUAGAUAUCGUCAAGAACACCGAUAGCGAAGGCAGCUUACUGGGCUGUAACUGACGCUGAGGCACGAAAGCGUGGGGAGCAAACAGG
rnacentral:rRNA from 1 species